rnacentral:rRNA from 1 species
AUGGUUAAAGAUCUCUUGGAUGAGGACUUAGAUGGGCAUGUUGUUUAUUUCUUGGGUGAGACUGCUAAUAUUGCUAGACCUGAUAUUAAGACACGUAGACCUGUUGUAGGCAUGCCUGUUAUUUCUGUUAAAAUAGGAGAUCAUUGUUAUCAUGGCUUAUGCGAUAUGGGUGCUAGUGCUAGUGCGAUACCUUAUGAUCUUUAUAAAGAAAUGAUGCACGACAUUGCACCCAUUGAAUUAGAAGACAUUGAUGUUACUAUUAAGCUUGCUAAUAGGGAUACCAUUAAACCUAUUGGGAUUGUUAGAGAUGUUGAAGUUUUGUGUGGGAAGGUUAAAUACCCUGCUGAUUUUCUUGUUCUUGGUUCCCCACAAGAUGAUUUUUGA